GGGGGAACACACUGCUGCUGGCAAGACCUCCAAGGGGCUGGGGGAAAAAGAUUCCACUACUCUGCUUCUCUCACUGGUGUCACUGAGCUGAGGCUACAGGUGCUAGAGCUGGCCAUGUAUUCCACAGAUCCUACCCCAAAGCUAUAGUUACUUCUUGGUGACCUCACUACAAUGACAAAGCUGCCACUAGUGCUUUGAGUCCAACUCUCUCAGGGGAACCUGAGAUGCUGGGAUGGCACCAAGUCU